rnacentral:tRNA from 1 species
GUCAGGAUGGCCGAGCGGUCUAAGGCGCUGCGUUCAGGUCGCAGUUCACUUCUGUGGGCGUGGGUUCGAAUCCCACUUCUGACA